rnacentral:rRNA from 1 species
GACAUACUAAGAACUUUCCAGAGAUGGAUUGGUGCCUUCGGGAACUUAGAUACAGGUGCUGCAUGGCUGUCGUCAGCUCGUGUCGUGAGAUGUUGGGUUAAGUCCCGNAACGAGCGCAACCCUUUUCCUUAUUUGCCAGCGGGUCAUGCCGGGAACUUUAAGGAUACUGCCAGUGACAAACUGGAGGAAGGCGGGGACGACGUCAAGUCAUCAUGGCCCUUACGGCCAGGGCUACACACGUGCUACAAUGGUCGGUACAAAGGGUUGCUACCUCGCGAGAGGAUGCUAAUCUCAAAAAGCCGAUCGUAGUCCGGAUCGCAGUCUGCAACUCGACUGCGUGAAGUCGGAAUCGCUAGUAAUCGCGGAUCAGAAUGCCGCGGUGAAUACGUUCCCGGGCCUUGUACACACCGCCCGUCACACCAUGGGAGUUUGUUGCACCAGAAGUAGGUAGUCUAACCGCAAGGAGGACGCUUACCACGGUGUGGCCGAUGACUGGGGUGAAGUCGUAACAAGGUAGGCGUAGAUGA